GACGAACGCUGGCGGCGUGCCUAAUACAUGCAAGUUGAGCGCUGAAGGUUGGUACUUGUACCAACUGGAUGAGCAGCGAACGGGUGAGUAACGCGUGGGGAAUCUGCCUUUGAGCGGGGGACAACAUUUGGAAACGAAUGCUAAUACCGCAUAAAAACUUUAAACACAAGUUUUAAGUUUGAAAGAUGCAAUUGCAUCACUCAAAGAUGAUCCCGCGUUGUAUUAGCGAGUUGGUGAGGUAAAGGCUCACCAAGGCGAUGAUACAUAGCCGACCUGAGAGGGGGAUCGGCCACAUUGGGACUGAGAAACGGCCCAAACUCCUACGGGAGGCAGCAGUAGGGAAUCUUCGGCAAUGGACGAAAGUCUGACCGAGCAACGCCGCGUGAGUGAAGAAGGUUUUCGGAUCGUAAAACUCUGUUGGUAGAGAAGAACGUUGGUGAGAGUGGAAAGCUCAUCAAGUGACGGUAACUACUCAGAAAGGGACGGCUAACUACGUG
rnacentral:rRNA from 1 species